UGGCUCAGGAUGAACGCUGGCGGCGUGCCUAACACAUGCAAGUCGAACGGUCGCAAGACAGUGGCGCACGGGUGAGGAACACGUAGCUAACCUGCCCUCAAGAUCGGGAUAACGGAUCGAAAGGUCUGCUAAUACCGGAUAAGCUCACGCGAAGUAAAGGCGAGUGAGAAAAGGAGGAAUCCGCUUGAGGAGGGGGCUGCGGCCUAUCAGGUAGUUGGUGAGGUAAUGGCUCACCAAGCCGACGACGGGUAGGGGGCCUGAGAGGGUGACCCCCCACACUGGGACUGAGACACGGCCCAGACUCCUACGGGAGGCAGCAGUGAGGGAUAUUGCACAAUGGGCGCAAGCCUGAUGCAGCGACGCCGCGUGAGUGACGAAGGCCUUCGGGUCGUAAAACUCUUUUGCCGAUGACGAGGAAGGACGGUAGUCGGCGAAUAAGCCUCGGCUAACUACGUGCCAGCCGCCGCCGUAAU
rnacentral:rRNA from 1 species